ACGAACGCUGGCGGCGUGCUUAACACAUGCAAGUCGAACGGAAAGGCCCCUUUGGGGGUCCUCGAGUGGCGAACGGGUGAGUAACACGUGAGUAACCUGCCCUUGACUUCGGGAUAACUUCAGGAAACUGGGGCUAAUACCGGAUAGGAAUCCUUGCUGCAUGGUGGGGGUUGGAAAGCUUCGGCGGUUUUGGAUGGACUCGCGGCUUAUCAGCUUGUUGGUGGGGUAGUGGCUUACCAAGGCUUUGACGGGUAGCCGGCCUGAGAGGGCGACCGGCCACAUUGGGACUGAGAUACGGCCCAGACUCCUACGGGAGGCAGCAGUGGGGAAGAUUGCACAAUGGGCGGAAGCCGGAUGCAGCAACGCCGCGUGCGGGAUGACGGCCUUCGGGUUGUAAACCGCUUUCAGCAGGGGCGAAGCUUGUGGUGACGGUACCUGCAGAAGAAGCACCGGCUAACUACGUG
rnacentral:rRNA from 1 species